rnacentral:rRNA from 1 species
GACAUGCAGAGAACUUUCCAGAGAUGGAUUUCGGUGCCUUCGGGAACUCUGACACAGGUGCUGCAUGGCUGUCGUCAGCUCGUGUCGUGAGAUGUUGGGUUAAGUCCCGUAACGAGCGCAACCCUGUCCUUAGUUACCAGCACGUUAUGGUGGGCACUCUAAGGAGACUGCCGGUGACAAACCGGAGGAAGGUGGGGAUGACGUCAAGUCAGUCAUGGCCCUUACGGCCUGGGCUACACACGUGCUACAAUGGUCGGUACAAAGGGUUGCCAAGCCGCGAGGUGGAGCUAAUCCCAUAAAACCGAUCGUAGUCCGGAUCGCAGUCUGCAACUCGACUGCGUGAAGCUGGAAUCGCUAGUAAUCGCGCAUCAGCAUGGCGCGGUGAAUACGUUCCCGGGCCUU